UACGUAGGGGGCAAGCGUUGUCCGGAUUUAUUGGGCGUAAAGAGCGUGUAGGCGGUUAGGUAGGUCCGUUGUGAAAACUCGAGGCUCAACCUCGAGACGCCGAUGGAAACCCCCUAACUAGAGUCCGGAAGAAGAGAGUGGAAUUCCUGGUGUAGCGGUGAAAUGCGCAGAUAUCAGGAAGAACACCCGUGGCUAAGGCGGCUCUCUAGUACGGUACUGACGCUGAGACGCGAAAGCGUGGGGAGCGAACAGG
rnacentral:rRNA from 1 species